GUAAAGGGGAUGAAUGGUAACUAGGUUUCACUGGACGGCACCAGUGACCGAGCUUGGUGCGAAGUUUGGUUGUAAAUUAAAAUCUUUAACGAAUGUCCGGAAGUCCGAGUGAAUGGAGUUGGGGGGAGGGGUGGGUGGGUCUGUAAUUAGUUUUUAGAGGGGCUAGAGAAAAUAUAUUGGGCCCUCGAUGAUUUCUGCGGGUACUUCGGUUUAAUGGCGAGGGCUGGUUAUGGCGAUGGUUGUAAGUGAAGUAAUGAUAACCGUGGGAGUAUUAGGUGGACUUAAUUCCUCUGGGCCAAUAUUUCUGACGAACUUUUAAGAAAAUUAGUUAUUCCCUGUUGGUAUUUCUGAUCGGUAUUAAUUAAUCGCGAGCGGUGUUCAGGACUUUCGAAUAUCUACCAAGUAAUUCGAUCGAAGCCUCAGUGGACCUAAGAGGCAAGUCUCGAGUUUUCGUGAACAUCCGACGGCGAAGCUGUGUGAAAAAUUUGAAUGAAUUUGCGAGGGUACCUCGAUGAUGCUGAACGUUCAGUUGGUGAAAACGAACCUGAAGCUUUCGUCGCGGAUGACUUCACGACUAAGAGUUCACGUAAACUUUGAGAUUUAAUAUU